GUACUGCCUGGCAGGGGAGAUAUCAUGAUCACGAAGGUGGUUUUUCCAGGAUGAGGCUUAUUCGUUGCACUCCGGAUGUGCUAACCCCUGCAAUUUCUCCAAAUGUGGGAAACUUGACUACAUAAUUUGUGGUAGUGGGGGACUGUAUAUGUGCUCUCCCUGG